rnacentral:rRNA from 1 species
UACGGAGGGUGCAAGCGUUAUCCGGAUUCACUGGGUUUAAAGGGCUCGUAGGCGGCCAACUAAGUCAGACGUGAAAUCCCUCAGCUUAACUGGGGAACUGCGUCUGAUACUGGAUGGCUUGGAUUCGGGAGAGGGAUGCGGAAUUCCAGGUGUAGCGGUGAAAUGCGUAGAUAUCUGGAGGAACACCGGUGGCGAAGGCGGCAUCCUGGACCGAUAUUGACGCUGAGGAGCGAAAGCUAGGGGAGCAAACGGG